GACAGUUUUGUUAUAAAACACAAGUCACAAAUUAAUAAAUAUGGACAAUGUCAUCAUUUACACAAGUAAUUCAGGAUAUAAAAUAAAUUAGAAAGAAAUACAUUAUUUUAAAAAGUGAGUUUUUUUUCUCUUUGGUGCAAGCAAUAGAUAGCAUUAUACUCUAUGCCUCUAUAUGCAUAGUGCUGCAUUCAUUGAGAUUUGAAACACAUAGAAACCCACAGAGCAGCAUGCCACAGGCUCAUCUAGUCACAUGACUUCCUGGUUCCCAUGGUAACCACGGUCAAGGCUACAGGCUACUGUCUGUACAAUAGGGUCAAGAGCACAAGGUGGCAUUAGUGAAUUGGCACUGUAGUGCUAAUCAGUGUCUUUGGCAAUAGUUAUCCUUCUUGGAAGAUCUGACUUAGUAGCUGUCCGCAGCAAACAAGAUAUGAGGGACUACACAGAUCGAGAUGGAGGGUUGAGAAAACGCUGUUGUAGAGUAGAGCAGUCUCACUAGCAGUAAGAUAGGCCUAGAUAUAUAAAUAUAUGGAUAUGCCUACACACUGAUGGUUCCUUCUUGGUUUAUAAAGCCAUUGGCAGUGUAGCCUACUGUUGAAUCACCAGCAGACUGCAUGGUCAAUGUCUAAACCUGACACAGAGCACAGGACUGGCCUUAGCUUCUCUGACUGAUGCUUCUGGUAGGCAGGCUGCAGUGGUUAUAAUAGACAUGCCAUCUAGGUCAUGGGAUGGUUGAGGGACAGAUAUGUGGUGGACCGAUCGUUCCCCAAUCACCACUACUAGAAGAACAACGCAGUCCAGUGAUGUUGCUGAUUUGUAAUGUAAUAUUGGUAGGGAAAAAGACAGAUGAAUUAGGCUCACUGCCUGAGUACUGCAUGUCUGUCAAGUCUUCUGUCAAGUCUUAUAAUCCACAUUAUAAUCCACAUUAUAAUCCACAUUUCCUGGUGCUGCUGCAGGAUUCAUUUAUUUUCUGUAGCAAACUGGCUCAAAUGAAGCUCCUCCAUCUGUCAAUGUUGUGGACCAUAUUCUGCCAGGGGAGUAAACAGGUGGUUCAACUCGCCUUCACUUUAAUGACUCAUUAGAACGUGAACAACGACAGAUGCUUGGGAGGGAGGAAUGAUUGUCUAUGAAUUGACCAUUUACAUUAUGAUCUGUUUACAUGCUGCCCACAAGUCCUUAGACUGGCAGUCGUAGUGUGGUGGAUGUCGCUGUGCUUAGUUUAGAAGCAGCGUCACACCAGGUCAGGGAGUCAAGGGAGAUCUUACAUUCAUUGUCCAUUCAGGGGUAUAGGAAGAUAUGGUUUGGUAGGAUAUAGUAUGGUAGGCUAUGUUAUGGUAGAGUAUGGUAGGGAACUGUAUGGUAUUGUAUGGUAGGGUAUAGUAUGGUAGGGUAUGUUAUGGUAGGGUAUGUUAUGGUAGGGAAAUGUAUGGUAUGGUUGGGCAUAGUAUGGUAGGAUGUGGUAGGAUAUGGCAUGGUAGGAUAUGGUAUUGUAUGGUAGGAUAUGGUAUUGUAGGGUAUGGGAGGGUAUAGGAAGAUAUAGUUUGGUAGGCUAUGUUAUGGUAUACUAUUGUAUGGUAGGGUACUGUAUAGUAUGGAAGGAUAUGGUAUGGUAGGAUAUAUGGUAUUGUAGGGUAUAGUAUGGUAGGAUAUAUGGUAUGGUAGGGUAUAGGAAGAUAUGGUUUGGUAGGCAAUGCUAUGAUAGGGUAUAGUAUGGUAGGAUAUGGUAUUGUAUUGCAUGGUAGGAUAUGGUAUUGUAGGAUAUGGUAUUGUAUGGUAGGAUAUGGUAUAGUAGCGUAUGGUAGGAUAUGGUAGGGUAUGGUAUGGUAUUGUAGGGUAUGGUAUUGUAGGGUAUAAUAAUGUAGGGUAGGGUAUAAUGAUGUAUGGUAGGAUAUGGUAGUAGGGUAGGAUAAGGUAUGGUAGUAUAUGGUAUUGUAGGGUAUAGUAUGGUAGGAUAUGGUAUAGUAGGGUAGGAUGUGGUAUGGUAGGAUAUUGUAAUGUAGGGUAUGGUAUGAUAUAGUAUUGUAGGGUAUAAAAUUGUAUGGUAGGAUAUGGUAUUCUAUGGUAGGGUGGUGUGUUAUGGUAGGAUAGUGUAAGAUAUGGUAUGUUAUGAUAUAGCAAUCCAACUGCAAUGGAUACCUAGGCUGCUAUGCUAAAUUAUUAACAGGGUAGAGCUGGAAAGAUAAACUGAAAAAAUGUAGACACCGACCAUACCGGUAACAUUGCAGACAUUUUACUGAUAUCCUUCAUUACGAUAAGUAGCCCAUUCUAGACAAAUGUGAUGUUGAAAUUAAAUAACUUUGUUAAUAUGGGUGAAUGUUCUUGGGACAAUUGAUGGCCACAACCAUCAAACUAGCAGUAGUAGUUUAAAGGAGAAUAGGAAACUGUGGUGUACAUUAAUGUUAGAAACUGUGGUGCACAUGAAUGUUAGAAACUGUGGUGCACAUUAAUGCUAGAAACUGUGGUGCACAUGAAUGUUAGAAACUGUGGUGCACAUUAAUGCUAGAAACUGUGGUGCACAGUAAUGCUAGAAACUGUGGUGCACAUUAAUGCUAGAAACUGUGGUGCACAUUAAUGCUAGAAACUGUGGUGCACAUUAAUGCUAGAAACUGUGGUGCACAUUCAUGUUAGAAACUGUGGUGCACAUUAAUGCUAGAAACUGUGGUGCACAUUAAUGCUAGAAACUGUGGUGCACAUUGUUAGAAACUGUGGUGCACAUUGUUAGAAACUGUGGUGCACAUUGUUAGAAACUGUGGUGCACAUUAAUGCUAGAAACUGUGGUGCACAUUAAUGCUAGAAACUGUGGUGCACAUUAAUGCUAGAAACUGUGGUGCACAUUAAUGAUAGAAACUGUGGUGCACAUUCAU
ensembl:lncRNA